CACAUCUUAAAUGUUCAACUCAUCUGCUUUCACUUUUAUAUUAAAUUUUCAUAUUUGUUUAUCAAGUUAUGUUCACCUAAUCAGGACAGGCUUAGGAUUUUAAAUUAGAGUGGGUUAAAAACUCGACACUAUAAGUAAAUUUAAUUUAUAAAAAAAAAAAAAAACAUAAUCAGGAUGACUUAAUGAGUUUUACCCCUUAAAACACAUCUAGUACACAUCUCUUUUCUAUUUUAUUCGGAUGUGUAAAUUAAAACGGGGUUAUUUUCUAUAUUUAAAAAAAUUACAGGAGUUGUUUUCGACUUCGACCAAAAAAUAAAAGAGGCAGGAGUUUGUGUUUUGCC
rnacentral:lncRNA from 1 species